GACGAACGCUGGCGGCGUGCUUAACACAUGCAAGUCGAGCGGUAAGGCCCUUUCGGGGGUACACGAGCGGCGAACGGGUGAGUAACACGUGGGUGACCUGCCCUCAGCUCUGGGAUAAGCCCGGGAAACCGGGUCUAAUACCGGAUAUGACUCCAUGACGCAUGUUGUGGGGUGGAAAGCCUUGUGCGGCUGAGGAUGGGCCCGCGGCCUAUCAGCUUGUUGGUGGGGUGAUGGCCACCAAGGCGACGACGGGUAGCCGGCCUGAGAGGGCGACCGGCCACACUGGGACUGAGAUACGGCCCAGACUCCUACGGGAGGCAGCAGUGGGGAAUCUUGCGCAAUGGGCGAAAGCCUGACGCAGCGACGCCGCGUGAGGGAUGACGGCCUCGGUUGUAA
rnacentral:rRNA from 1 species